rnacentral:lncRNA from 1 species
CACUUUUGGUAAAUGUUAUUCAUUAAGAUUCCUGAACCAUUAUGAAAUAUUAAACCAACCUCUUUAAAUCAUUUUUUUUAAAUGAGUUUUAGUGUUUGGAACCUUGUAAAAUAAUUUUCAGAAUGUUAUAGUGUCACUGUAGCUUAAUAAGGAAAAGAGGUCAUAUUUCAAGCUAGUGGAAACAAAUCCUUGUUUUGUAUUUUUAAUAAGUUUGUGUCCUCAUUCCUCAUUGUGAAAUCCAUGAACCUCUUGAGCUCUAAUUUUUCUUUAUAUUCCUGUGGCAUUUUAAAUACUGCUUGCAGUUCUUGUCUUUGUCUACCUUCUUGCAUUAUAUAUUCUCCCUGGAAGUUUCAUUUGUGCCUAUUAUUUUCUAAUUAAAGGCCCAACCUUUCAUCUCAGAGCUGCAUGGGCCACAGGCUUCUUUAAACUCAAAAAUAUUAAGCUUGGUACUUGAUUCCUAAGGACUUCAUCUGUUCCCUAAACAUUUUUUUGCCUCUCAUCCUACAUUUUAUAUGAAUAAUCAUACUCCAACUUUCUUCACUCUAUUUUUGUUCAAAUUUUCAUUUUUUUGGACGGUUGCAGUAAUUUUCUAAGGUAGCAGGCAUCCCAGUAAACUAAAACGCCUAUGAUCUAAUGCUGUGCUGUUUGAUGCCUUUGUCCACACUACCUGGAUGAAGUGCCUCUUCUCUCUUGGGAAGCAUAACUUGAGUCCUUCCCUCUGUAACUCUUUCAAAUCCCCACUCCCAAGUAAAAUGAGCCAUUCUUUAUAUUGAUGACCCAGCCCAGUGCUUGACCCUUGGAAGGCAUUGAGAUGUACAUGUUUCUUUAGAGACUGAUAACAAAACUUUACAAAUAGACUGUGUUGGUCCAUACUGUAAAAUACUGGCUUUCAGACUUCAAAACUAAACUUUUUUUGACCACAGAGUUUUGAGAAGAGAUAAAGGGUUAAUGAGACUCAGUGGCAAGAUUUCCUCCUCUUUCACGUGUGGGUUGGGGUGGGGAGGCAGAUAGUGCUGCCCAAAAAAAAUAUAAAAAAAAAA